rnacentral:rRNA from 1 species
UGAGCAACCUGCCCCUGGCUCUGGGAUAACCCCGGGAAACCGGAGCUAAUACCGGAUACGAGACCGAUUGGCAUCUUUACGGUCUGGAAAGUUUUUCGGCCAGGGAUGGGCUCGCGGCCUAUCAGCUUGUUGGUGGGGUAAUGGCCCACCAAGGCGACGACGGGUAGCCGGCCUGAGAGGGCGACCGACCACACUGGGACUGAGACACGGCCCAGACUCCUACGGGAGGCA